UACGUAGGGUGCGAGCGUUGUCCGGAAUUAUUGGGCGUAAAGGGCGCGUAGGCGGCCUUCUAAGUCGAACGUGAAAUCCCCGGGCUCAACCCGGGAACUGCGUCCGAUACUGGAAGGCUUGAAUUCGGGAGAGGGAUGCGGAAUUCCAGGUGUAGCGGUGAAAUGCGUAGAUAUCUGGAGGAACACCGGUGGCGAAGGCGGCAUCCUGGACCGGCAUUGACGCUGAGGCGCGAAAGCCAGGGGAGCAAACGGG
rnacentral:rRNA from 1 species